ensembl:lncRNA
UGCAUUUCAAACAGUUCCAGAUUAGACCACGAUAAAACGUACAUGAACUCUGCACCAUUAGUGUUACCAGGUAUAGGGGCAGAGAUUCAGAAGACAUGUGAUGAAACCUGAUGCUGAUUACAACGAAUGGAUUUACACUGAAGAUCAGCUGGAAUAAUUUGGCCCCUAAAAACAGAGGCAGAUUCUAAACACUGCUCUCCUGGCUCCGUUCAUCCCUUGGCAGGAAGGAAGGCAGGAGCAAACAUCUUGGACAACAGGGCUGCACAACAUGUCAGUGUGCUUGAGAUCAUUUCUGCAUUUUGCACCUAAAAGACAACACACUGCUAACAACUUUCUCAGCAGGCAUCAGGAGCAGGGAGGGGAAGGAAACUGCAGCAGGCACUCCUGAGGGACUGAAGAGCAAUGACGGCUUCUAUCUGAAGAAUGCUGAGAAAAUCUAAAAAGUUAUUUUAAAGCUUCUGAAGAAUUAAUAGAACGAUGUACGUAAACGUCCUCUCAGAAAUAUCAGAAUCCAGGGUGGGGUUUUACAGAAGUUGGAGAGGUACGAGAACUGAGGCUGAUGGCUGACUACAAUGAUUUUUUUUCCUAUAUUUCAUUGAAUCACAGAAUGGCCUGAGUUAAAAAGGAUUUCAAAGACCAUCUAGUUUCAAGCCCCCUGCUUUGGGCAUGGCCACCAACCACCAGACAGGGAGCACAUUUGCCCCUUGUUUUCACACUGGGAGUUGCAUAUUUGUAACUGAGGGAAGAACUGAGUGCAGUGUUAACAACGUUAGGUAAAUAAUGUUGCUAUUAGAUUUUUAGAACCUGUUCUUUCUUUCUUUUUUUUUUAACGUGUUAUGUAAUCACUCCUCUAAUGAGCGUUCGGCCAAUAAAGGUGAAACAAGUUGCUAA